rnacentral:lncRNA from 15 species
AUGAGAAAUCAUUGUGUUUCUUGUAUCCUCACUCUAGUCAGGAUGGCAUUACCUAAGGCAGUGGGAUACAUUGUUGUUCUUCUGGUUAUAUACUAUAAUCAGGGAUACACACAGUCUCUGAAUGUAUCCCUUGAGGAACUGAUGGGUACAAAAACAUCACAUGCCAGAGAAAAGAGAGCGGCACUCCUUAAUUCCUCCGAUUAUGUACUCCAAGCUGUUAUAAACAUCUCUGACCUGGAGCGUCUCCAGAUGCUUUUGGACACACUCAGCUUUCCUUUACUGAUCAACAGCACUGCUGAAAUUACCAGCAUUGACACCACAACAGGUAAUGACAACAUCCUGUCAUUUUCUUGCUGCACUGUUUGCCAAAAAGAUGAAUAUAUUUAACCCU